rnacentral:rRNA from 1 species
AUUGAACGCUGGCGGAAUGCUUUACACAUGCAAGUCGAACGGCAGCACGGGGGCAACCCUGGUGGCGAGUGGCGAACGGGUGAGUAAUACAUCGGAACGUGCCCAGUCGUGGGGGAUAACGUAGCGAAAGCUACGCUAAUACCGCAUACGAACUGAGGUUGAAAGCGGGGGAUCGCAAGAACUCGUGCGAUUGGAGCGGCCGAUGGCAGAUUAGGUAGUUGGUGGGGUAAAGGCCUACCAAGCCGACGAUCUGUAGCUGGUCUGAGAGGACGACCAGCCACACUGGGACUGAGACACGGCCCAGACUCCUACGGGAGUCAGCAGUGGGGAAUUUUGGACAAUGGGCGCAAGCCUGAUCCAGCCAUUCCGCGUGCAGGAUGAAGGCCCUCAGGUUGUAAACUGCUUUUGUACGGAACGAAAAGGCUUCCUCUAAUACAGGGGGCUGAUGACGGUACCGUAAGAAUAAGCACCGGCUAACUACGUGCCAGCAGCCGCCGUAACAC